rnacentral:rRNA from 1 species
CCUACGUGAGGCAGCAGUGAGGAAUAUUGGUCAAUGGGCGCGAGCCUGAACCAGCCAAGUAGCGUGAAGGAUGACUGCCCUACGGGUUGUAAACUUCUUUUAUAAAGGAAUAAAGUGAGGCACGUGUGCCUUUUUGUAUGUACUUUAUGAAUAAGGAUCGGCUAACUCCGGGCCAGCAGCCGCGGUAAUACGGAGGAUCCGAGCGUUAUCCGGAUUUAUUGGGUUUAAAGGGAGCGUAGAUGGGUUGUUAAGUCAGUUGUGAAAGUUUGCGGCUCAACCGUAAAAUUGCAAUUGAUACUGGCAGUCUUGAGUACAGUUGAGGUAGGCGGAAUUCGUGGUGUAGCGGUGAAAUGCUUAGAUAUCACGAAGAACUCCGAUUGCGAAGGCAGCUUACUAAACUGCCACUGACAUUGAUGCUCGAAAGUGUGGGUAUCAAACAGGAUUAGAUACCCUAGUAGUC